rnacentral:lncRNA from 1 species
CUUCUGCAGUAUAAUUGUUCAUGUAAAAAAAAAAAAAAAAAGAAAGAAAGAAAAAAAAUAAAGAAAUAUUACAAUAGGGAUUUGAACUAGCUCUAUAUCAUUUUGGAGUCCAUGCCUUUAGACUUGGCCAGAGGGAUUUUAUCUUUGGUGCUUGUUUUUUUAAAGACGGCCUCAUCCUCCUCCAGAAGGAGGAUAACUUAAGGCCAAGAUGGUCUUGAUCUCCUGACCUCCUGUAAUCCCAGCACUUUGGGAGGCCG